CCUACGUGAGGCAGCAGUAGGGAAUCUUCCACAAUGGGCGAAAGCCUGAUGGAGCAACGCCGCGUGGGUGAAGAAGGUCUUCGGAUCGUAAAACCCUGUUGUUAGAGAAGAAAGUGCGUGAGAGUAACUGUUCACGUUUCGACGGUAUCUAACCAGACAGCCACGGCUAACUACGUGCCAGCAGCCGCGGUAAUACGUAGGUGGCAAGCGUUAUCCGGAUUUAUUGGGCGUAAAGGGAACGCAGGCGGUCUUUUAAGUCUGAUGUGAAAGCCUUCGGCUUAACCGGAGUAGUGCAUUGGAAUCUGGGAGACUUGAGUGCAGAAGAGGAGAGUGGAACUCCAUGUGUAGCGGUGAAAUGCGUAGAUAUAGGGAAGAACACCAGUGGCGAAAGCGGCUCUCUGGUCUGUAACUGACGCUGAGGUUCGAAAGCGUGGGUAGCAAACAGGAUUAGAUACCCGAGUAGUC
rnacentral:rRNA from 1 species